rnacentral:rRNA from 1 species
GACGAACGCUGGCGGCGUGCCUAAUACAUGCAAGUUGAGCGCUGAAGGUUGGUACUUGUACCAACUGGAUGAGCAGCGAACGGGUGAGUAACGCGUGGGGAAUCUGCCUUUGAGCGGGGGACAACAUUGGGAAACGAAUGCUAAUACCGCAUAAAAACUUUAAACACAAGUUUUAAGUGUGAAAGAGGCAAUUGCAUCACUCAAAGAUGAUCCCGCGUUGUAUUAGCUAGUUGGUGAGGUAAAGGCUCACCAAGGCGAUGAUACAUAGCCGACCUGAGAGGGUGAACGGCCACAUUUGGACUGAGACACGGCCCAAACUCCUACGGGAGGCAGCAGUAGGGAAUCUUCGGACAUGGACGAAAGUCUGACCGAGCACCGCCGCGUUAGUGAAGAAGGUUUUCGGAUCGUAAAACUCUGUUGGUAGAGAAGAACGUUGGUGAGAGUGGAAAGCUCAUCAAGUGACGGUAACUACCCAGAAAGGGACGGCUAACUACGUG